UUGGCGAUGAGAAAAGGACGAAGGCAAUCAGGAAAAACAUUGGGAGCAGUGGCGGUGGCGACAAUGAUGAACGCAAUGGUGGGGUAUCAGAAAAGAGCUAGAGUCACCUGUGAUAUGGCAGGGAUGUGAUUGCUUCUCAAAGGGAGUGGACUCUCCAGUUUUUGAUGAACUUGAAGCUGUUUUGGCACAAGACAUGCUAUCUCUUCCAGCAACCAAAGGGAUUUGAGUUUGAAAGUGGAUUCACUGGUGAUAUGUGAUCAACAGAGUAUAAUAAGGUUAAGCGGUUGUUGGAGAAGGCAUACACGAGAUUGUUAAAUGCGAUGUAGAACAGUCUUCGAUUCAAGUUGGUUCUAUUCCUUUUUUCUUUCAAUAAAUGCUGAUGAAAAUCUAACAAAAUGAACCCAUAUUCAGCAAAACUCUUUUUCAUCAAUUUGCUUUUGCUUGCUGCUCAACCUUUAAUUUGUAAUAGCUCUGAUGCUGAUGCUGAUUCUUUUUUAUUGUUUACCGAUGUUUCAUCUACUAUUCAAUAAAUCAGAUAUAUGUCAUCUCACAACAUUAUAUUGACAAGUGCAUUUGCUCUUAUUUUAUUCUUAACAAAUUUAUAUCUUUUAUUUAAAUAAUUCAUUUUAGCCUAAAUUUUAUCUCUUCUUAUUUUAUUCUUUUUCUCUUUUAUUUUGUUGAAUUUUUGCGGUAGUAUAUUGAUAGCUGUAAUGUAAUAAGGCAUGUUUGGUCUAGAGCCGGAUUGGAUUAAAAUUAGUCUGGCUCAUAAAUUAUCCCAUAUUUGAAUUAUAAUCACUACAACAAAAACGGUGUAUAGCGACAUAUUUAAAUGUCGAUACAGGUCAAAAAAAAGUGCUGCUGGUUAAAUUGUCGAUACUUUUUAAAAAUGUUGCUAUAUGUGGGACCGUCUUGAUGUUUGGCACCUACUCCUCCAGCGACCUGUGGAGGAGGGACACGUGGACCUUCUCCAAAGGAAUGAGAUAGGGCUGCCAGAAGCAAAGACAUUGAAUAUACAAUAUAGAUAAGGAGAUGUUGCUAAUAAGUCAAAAGAAGCUUUGGUAUGCAAAGCACCAC